UACGGGGGGGCAAGCGUUGUUCGGAAUUCCUGGGCGUAAAGGGCUCGUAGGCGGCCAACUAAGUCGGAUGUGAAAUCCCCAGGCUUAACCUGGGAACUGCAUCCGAUACUGGAUGGCUUGAAUCCGGGAGAGGGAUGCAGAAUUCCAGGUGUAGCGGUGAAAUGCGUAGAUAUCUGGAGGAACACCGGUGGCGAAGGCGGGUCUCUGGGCAGUAACUGACGCUGAGGAGCGAAAGCGUGGGGAGCGAACAGG
rnacentral:rRNA from 1 species